GAGAAACAGGAGAGAGUUACUGCAGGAGACUACAGAGAGAGAGGGGGAGUAGAGGCAGUACACAGACUCACUCAGAAGAGGAGUGCAGCACAAAGAAGUAGAAAGUGAACACAGACUUUUAAAGAGAGGGAAACUGACAGACAGACAGACUGACAAUCCGGUGAACUACAGAUACAGAGACUUCAAAGGACAAACUACAAUCUUUUAGUCCAACUGGAAAACUGGAGCAAGUGAAUUAUUAGAUGAAGAGCUUAAACAGCGGAGAGGAGACCACACGAACGAGAGGAAUAACAAGAAGGGGAGGGUGAAAGAGAGAGAGAGAGAGAGAGAGAGAGAAAAGAUCCCAGAGCUUUGGGAUACCAUUAAGUUGUUUGUCAGAGUUUUUAAUGAACAUUUGAGAAACUUUGGGAGAAGUGGAAAACGAUCUGUACUGAAGUUGGAGAGACAGACGUUGCCAAACUCUGAAUCUAAACUCAUUCACUCCAAAGCACAAUAAGUUUGACAAACAUUACCCUCUCUGUGUGACCUGACCAGGCCAGGGGAAUCCAAGAUGGAGGUGAGGGAGGAGGUGUUGGCCAUCCUGAAUAAGGUGUGGACUAAACUCCAGACCCUCCCUCAGGCCAACUCGCUAGAGCUUGGGGCUUUCUUCAUCCUCAUCCUGUUCGUCGCCACGUUCUUGUUUAUGAUUGUGCUGUCCUGCGUUCACUGCUGCUGCUGUGGAAAGCUUAAAUACCAGGGCUCUCGGGUCCAGCCCUUACAGGCUGUCUGAGGAGGAGACAUUGGCCCAGUUACAAUACUUAUAAAAUUAAAGGAAGGGAGGAAACAGCAAUUCCAGGGAAGAACCAAUUAAGUAUUAGAAUCACCUGGACAAUGUAUCUUGGAGGGGACAGACAGACUGCUCUGCAACCAGCCUGAGGAAUCCGUGUGUGUCUAAAUACUGAUGAGUAAUGGCCGACUCAUUAAGACUACGUAGCAGUCGUUAUAGACAGGACAAUGAUGCACUAUGAACAGAGCACUGUGAACAUUGCUUCUGUGCUGUUGUUCUGGAUGAGGACACAAACCACUCUGAGGUUGAAAGACCCACCCAAGUUUGAUCCUGCUUUCUCAUGUGAUUUAACCUGGAAGAGCCGAUAGGUUUUAUGUUGUGUGUUUUGUAGGCCUACAGAAGGAUACAUAAAAAACUCCCUCAGUUUUGUAUCUUGUUCUUUAGCAAAGUAUUUUUUUAUGUCCAGAAUGUUAAACCCAUCUCUGUUCUCCUUCAAGAUGACCACAUGGAUAAAGGGCUGAAGUUCCAAACUUGUUUUUGUGUGGCUGUAUUUUCCAGUGGAAAAGAAGGGACAGUCAUAUAGAGAGUGCCCUCUGCUGGUGCAAUGAGCACAAAACAUUUAAGGUACUGAAAUAAUUGGUGGGUGCUUAUAUUUGUCCCAUUUCACACAUGUACAAGUAUGUAUUAUAUUGUUUUUUUUGCAUAUCCCACCUGCCCCUGAGAGUGGGGUGACCCACUAUCAAUGGCAAUCCUGGAACAAUUAGGGUUAAAUGCCUUGGGCACAGACUGAUUUUUUCACCUUGUCGCCUCGGGGAUUUGAACCAGUGACUACAGGCCCAAUGCUCUAACCUCUAGGCUGCCUGCCGCCCUCGGUAUGUGCCAAAGCAGAAAACUGUUGUACAUUAUUGAUGCAGUAUUGUAGAAAUAGUAUUAAUAUCUGUUGCCUUAUAAAUGGUGAAUCGUGAUUAUCAUUAGUUAUGCUGUUACUAUACCAUCUCUGAUUGUACAUAAUUCAUUUGGAGUGAAACAAGCUGUGUUUUUGGAUUAUAUUCAUCUGUAGUUGUCGUUUGAGGAGCAACAAGUUUAGCUUUACUUAAUGUUUAAGUGCAAAUAAAACAUAGUACAUUAAAGAAUG